rnacentral:rRNA from 1 species
GUAGUCUCGCACAGAUGCAUAUCAAUAAGCGGAGGAAAAGAAACUAACAAGGAUUCCCCUAGUAACGGCGAGUGAAGCGGGAAGAGCUCAAAUUUGAAAUCUUAAAGGGUUUCCCUUUACGAAUUGUAGUUUAAAGAAGUGUUUUCUGUUGAGGUUUUGGUAAAAGUUCUUUGGAAUAGGACAUCAUAGAGGGUGAGAAUCCCGUAUUUGACCUUUACUUUCAACUUUGUGAUACACUUUCAAAGAGUCGGAUUGUUUGGGAAUGCAGUCCAAAAUGGGUGGUAAAUUUCAUCUAAAGCUAAAUAUUGGCGAGAGACCGAUAGCGAACAAGUACCGUGAGGGAAAGAUGAAAAGAACUUUGAAAAGAGAGUUAAGCAGUACGUGAAAUUGUCAAAAGGGAAGCGUUUGACACCAGUGUUGUUUUUCUGAAAAUCAAUUAAAGAACUGUUUAUGCUAAGCUGUUUAGACUUUAUCAGCUAUCUGUUUAGUUUUGAGCUUUUCUUUAAUGCACUUUUCAGUUAACAAGUCAACAUCAAUUUCUUUUGCUGUAAAAAAGCUUGAGGAAGGUGGCUUGAGAUUCGUCUUAAGUGUUUAUAGCCUCUUGCCUAUGCAGUCGGAGAGAUUGAGGUCUGCAGCGUAGAUCCUUCGGGGCUAAAUGCAUUUGUGCUAAGUUAUAGCAUUUCAUAGACAACUUGUUGACUAUGAUUUGUCUUGUAGCUUACUCGCUUAUGUUAUUUUACCUACGCUUAGGAUGUUGAUCUGUAGUGCGUGCGC